GUGCAGCAGUCGCGAAACCUUCGCAAUGCGGGAAACCGCGACGAGGGGACUCCCAGUGCCUACGCUCAGCGUAGGCUGUUCCCGAGCCUAGAAAGCUCGGGGAGUAAGGGCUGGGUAAGACGGGUGCCAGCCGCCGCGGUAAUACCCGCAGCCCGAGUGGUGGCCACUAUUAUUGGGCCUAAAGCGUCCGUAGCCGGCCCGGUAAAUGCCUGGGUAAAUCGUGAGGCCUAACCUCACGAAUUCCGGGUAGACUGCCGGGCUAGGGACCGGAGGAGGGAGAGGGGUACUCCAGGGGUAGGGGUGAAAUCCUGUAAUCCCCUGGAGGACCACCGGUGGCGAAGGCGCUCUCCUAGGACGGGUCCGACGGUGAGGGACGAAAG
rnacentral:rRNA from 1 species